CUCAACCGUGUCUACCGUGGCGACCUCUAGUGUUUGCCCCGUUGUAACUACAUCCAGACAAGGAACAGCCGAGAACAUUCAAUUUUAUGCACUAAACACACACUGGCAGGUUAAAAGACUAUCGCCGGAAUUGGUGCUUCUCUCAUGGGUAUCCUCCACACAAUUUCCCUGGUGGGUUUUUAUUAUCGUUUACGAUGGAAGCAGAAGACUGCGGCUACCUUUCAGCUAUCCCAUUGUUGACAUUUUUGAAGUAUGUAUUCUUUAUUUCCACUUGUCUGAAUCGAUUAUUUCUGUUAAUAACAAAUCUGUGCAUCACUGUCAGAGGUAGGUAGAGCUGGUCACUAACACUAACACAGGCUGCGUUGAAAAGGUUCCUGGGUUUCAGGUCGCGCCUGUAAUCCCACAGUUUGAUGGGGCUCGUAGCAGACGCAGCUUCUCCAGAAACUGUCAACUAAUGUCCCCAUUCAUUUUCCGUGUUCACGCAAUACUGUGAGAGGGACACAGAGUCAGCCACCAGAGGGCACUGCUAACACAACAAAAACAAGAGAACGGAACAACAGGUCCUUCUUGCCGAAGAAAGGUGAAAAACUGAAGCCCUCAGUAUUGUUUGUUCUACAAGGGUGUGAGCUGAUGCCAACACGUAUACAGUGUUUUUUUUCCAGAGGCACGACAUGCUGGCCAGGUUAAUUGGUGUCUCUAUACUGUCGGUGUGCCCUGUGAUGGACUGAUGUCCCUUCAGGGUGUAGAUCCCACUUGCAUUAGAUGUCCACAGAAGCCCUUAUCAGAAGCAUCCGCCGUGAAGACGGAUCGAUGUAGCAUGUGGGAAUGAUCUCUUCAGAUCCCCGAAGAUAAGCAAGACUAAGAUUGGUUAGUAAAUGGAUUGGAGACCUCUAAGAACCACACUACUGGGAUCAGACAUCAAGAGUAUUUGCAAGUUAUUCUUCAAUAUGUUGUGAUGCAGCAUCCCCUGGGACUGUGCCUUGAUAGAGCUGAGCUUCUUCCUCCCUGGAACUGCUGGCAUCGAUAACAUAGGGUGCAAAUGAGAUUUCACCCUCUUGAAGAAAGUGGCUGUUGCUCAGUGCGCUGGUGAUUGGAUUUGAAGCCUUGCAUCUCUAGUUCUCCUGUCCUUUUGUCCUCCUCCAUCACCGGUGAUGAUCACAAAUCAUUUCCACUGUAAGACUUUGAGCAGCCUGUGUUGAAUAUGUUGAGCUGCUUCCAAAUGAAUGGCUUUCUGUGGAUGAACCUUCCAUCACAUACAAUUGGUGCUAAUUGACACUGGAUCAAAACCUCUCAAAGAAGCCAAAUGGAGUGGAAUGAGGUGAAUUGCUUGCAGUGUAUGUAUUUGAUCUUGCUACAUUUAGGUUAUCUGAAAGCUACUUUUACCAGCAAGACGAAAUGAAGAGACUAUUUCACCAGCAAGACCGAAUUAAAGAAUUUCUUUUCAAGUGCGAGACUCUCUCAUGCAAUCAGUCCUGGUCCUCUCUAAAGAUAGUUUUAGCACAGGGAAGAAAAAACAUUUCUAAAUGUACUUUUUAAUUUUCUCAGUCCAGCUUAAUUAUUGUUCUUUAGUGGUGCAUGGACCUUUAAAACCACAAAACUGUUUCUAUGAAAAUAAACCUCAAAAUCUUGAAAAACUGAAACUAAACAGAAAAAACACAAAACAGUAACACUAUUGAGGUUAAUGUGCAGUUUAUAGGGUAAAAAUAAUUGUGUUCAGCACAUUACACAUCAUUGUUUUCCCCAGAACUUAUUUUAUUUUUGGUGUUGAAUAGAUCACAGAAAACCAAAGACACAUGGUGAUGUAACAUGAUUAUUUUUGUGCACCCAAAGCCAAGGCAAAGUAAUCCGUCUGUAGGUGUCAGCAGUAAUUAAAUCUGAGGAGCUAUCUUUGUUUGGAUAUGAAAAUAAAUAAAAUAGUUUUCUAUAAUGUAAUUGUAAUAUCAACAGCAAAAAAAUAAAAUCAAUAAAAAUG